rnacentral:rRNA from 1 species
AGUCGAGCGAACAGAUAAGGAGCUUGCUCCUUUGACGUUAGCGGCGGACGGGUGAGUAACACGUGGAUAACCUACCUAUAAGACUGGGAUAACUUCGGGAAACCGGAGCUAAUACCGGAUAACAUAUUGAACCGCAUGGUUCAAUAGUGAAAGGCGGCUUUGCUGUCACUUAUAGAUGGAUCCGCGCCGUAUUAGCUAGUUGGUAAGGUAACGGCUUACCAAGGCAACGAUACGUAGCCGACCUGAGAGGGUGAUCGGCCACACUGGAACUGAGACACGGUCCAGACUCCUACGGGAGGCAGCAGUAGGGAAUCUUCCGCAAUGGGCGAAAGCCUGACGGAGCAACGCCGCGUGAGUGAUGAAGGUCUUCGGAUCGUAAAACUCUGUUAUCAGGGAAGAACAAAUGUGUAAGUAACUGUGCACAUCUUGACGGUACCUGAUCAGAAAGCCACGGCUAACUACGUGCCAGCAGCCGCGGUAAUACGUAGGUGGCAAGCGUUAUCCGGAAUUAUUGGGCGUAAAGCGCGCGUAGGCGGUUUUUUAAGUCUGAUGUGAAAGCCCACGGCUCAACCGUGGAGGGUCAUUGGAAACUGGAAAACUUGAGUGCAGAAGAGGAAAGUGGAAUUCCAUGUGUAGCGGUGAAAUGCGCAGAGAUAUGGAGGAACACCAGUGGCGAAGGCGACUUUCUGGUCUGUAACUGACGCUGAUGUGCGAAAGCGUGGGGAUCAAACAGGAUUAGAUACCCUGGUAGUCCACGCCGUAAACGAUGAGUGCUAAGUGUUAGGGGGUUUCCGCCCCUUAGUGCUGCAGCUAACGCAUAAGCACUCCGC